rnacentral:lncRNA from 1 species
CUACUGCUGUUGGUGUGUUUACAUCCCCAUACCUAAGUAGUUUGGCAAAAGAGAUCGAUAGAAUAAGUACCUCGCUUCCCAAUAUACACUGGGGGUUGAUCCAUUCUUCUAAAAUUCUUCAAGGUGGUACUCCAGCAUGGCCACAGUCUAAUGACUGGAACAAAUGAAAGCUAAAAUGUAAGAUAUCAUUAUUAUCCAUGAAAACGUUAUAAAUAUAUAAAUAUUAUAAUUAACAAUUAGCCCAAUUAACUCUUUGUACUUCUUUAAGCAUUAAUCCUAAUAAUUUUGAUUGUAAAUGUAAUCCUAUUUUUUCAACUAUAUAUAUUUUGUACCCUCUCUUUCUUUCUCUCUUACCCCCUGUGUAUGCAUACAUAUAUAUAUAUAUAUAUAUAUAUAUAUAUAUAUAUAUGGAGAGAGAGAGAGAGAGAGAGAGAGAGAGAGAGAGAGAGAGAGAGAUACAUAUACAUUCAUAUAUAUAAUCAUAUAUAUGUGUGUGUCUGUAUGUAUAAAUAUGUCGUUGCUAUUAUGUUAAACUGUCGUAUGUCCAAAAUUUGGCCGAGUGUGUUUCUUUUCCAAUAUUUAUUUUCGCUCGCAAUAGCCAGUUCUUUUGGUCAAACUCUUCUCUCUCUCCAGCUGCUUCAGAUGCCAAGAUAUCAAAAAUUGUAAAAGUUUAGUUCAACAGUUUUGCUAUGGAAUGGUGAAACUAUUUUUUUGUUUUUCUGGAAAAGCACUGUUUUGGACUUAUGACACUUUUGCAUAAUAGCAACGAUAUAUAUAUAUAUAUAUAUGUAUAUAUAUAUAUAUAUAUGUAUAUAUAUUUGAGUAUAUAUGUGUAUAUGUUGAAGAUAAAUAUAUAUAUAAAUAUAUAUGAGUAUAUAUAUAUGUGUACAUGAAUACAUAUAUAUAUAUAUGUGUGUGUGUGUGUGUGUGUGUGUGUGUGUACGUAUAUAACUGGCUCUCAAGUUGAUCUGAUCAAUGGAGCAGCUUCCUUGUUAAAUUAAUGUGCAAGUGGCUGAGUACUCCACAGACCCUCAUACACUUGAUAUUGUUCUCAGGGAUAUUCAGCAUGACACAGAAUGUGACAAGGCUGACUCCUUUGAAUUACAGGUACAACUCAUUUUUGCCAGCUGAGUGGACUGGAGCAAUGUGAAAUAAAGUGUCUUGCUCAAGGACACAAUGUGCCACUGGGAAUCGAAACCACAACCUUACAACUCUGAGCUGAAUGCUCCUAACCACUAAGCCAUGAGCCUUCACACAUACACACACACACAUACACACAUACACAUACACAUACACACACAUGCGCAAACAUACCCACACACACUUACAUACACACAUACACACACAAACACACACACAUACACACAUAUGCACACUUACACAUGCAUACAUACAUGUAUAUACACACAUACACAUAUAUACAUACACAUACAGACUCUUACAUACAUACAUAUAUACACACACACAUACAUUCAUAUACACACAUACACACACUUACAUACACUCAUACACAUAUGCACACUUACACACAUACUUACAUACACAAACACGCACACACGCACACACAUAUAUAUAUACAAGCAUGUAUAUCUCACAUACCUGAGCGCCCACAAUGCUCGCUAGAACAUAAGCGUAAAGAGAAAUUAAUGCAGAUAUCAACUAUUUACACAUGUUUUAAGAGGGUGGAUAUGAAAUCCUUUUAUCAAACAAUAUCUUUGGGAAGAGUAAAUAAAACACAAUCCAUAAAGUUUUGUUAUUUUAUCAGCACGAAAUCAAACAAGGACCAUAUAUCGAAAUAUCUUGUGAUUUUAAUAAUGUAAAGAUUUUAUGAAAUUCCUCUUUCUAAUUCCUGAUAUAACAUUCAGUUUCGAAUAUGUUCCAAGCUUUCAUUCUGCUUAACAGCUUUUAACAUCAGUCCAGUACAGAUCUUAUCUAACCCAAUUUUCAAAGAAAUCUAUAUAGAUUGUAUGUUAUUAUUAAAUCAGAAUCAAUCUGUCUAUAAAACAAGGAAGUAACAUGGUUAUUAAAUAUAGUGUGUGGACGAUUAUAAUGCAGUAAAUAGCAACAUUAAAGAAACCUUUUAUGUUUAUAUAAUGCUAUAAUAUUUUUAUAAUUUACUAAAUGUGAGCAAGAUUGACAUAGGAUAGAAUCAAAGUGGACAUACUGUUGUAGAGCACUCUAAAGACAUACCCAUAUGUGGCUGUGCAGUAAGAAGUUUGCUUCCCUGACACAUGGUUCUGGGUUCAGUCCCACUGCAUGGCACCUUGGGCAAGUGUCAUCUACUAAAGCCCCAGGCAAACCAAAGUCUUGUAUGAGGACUUGGUAGAUGGAAACUGAAUGGAUCCUGUCGUAUAUAUGUGUGUGUGUGUGUGGCUUUGUGUCUUUGUAUCUGUGAGGGUCCCCUCUACCACCACUUGACAACUGGUGUUGGUGUGUUUAUAUUCCAGUAACUUAGCAGUUCAGCAAAAGAAACUGAUGGAAAAAGUAGCAGAGUUAAAACAUAUGUACCAGGGGUCGAUACAUUCAACUAAAAUUCUUUAAGGUAGUGCCCCAGCAUGGCCACAUUCUGUCUAAAACAAGUAAAAGAUAAGAAAUAUGAAGAUACCUUACUAGAAUACAACUUGAAUGCUGAUGAAGCCCUCUCAGUCUAUUUUCUCUUAUUCAUACAUACAUACAUAUAUAUAUAUAUAUAUAUAUAUAUAUAUAUGGCCCAAAAGUAGGUUUACAGUUAUCAUGCAGGCACUUUAAAUUUCUUUUAAAACAUUUUAUUACCUUUAAAUUUCUAUCUUCCAAACUGAAAAGGGACCUUGACAAAAUUAACUAAAUUAGCAUAGAAUAAUGGGUUCAGAUUUUUUUUUAUAAUUAAGAUCUAAACUGUUAAUAUAUGAAUGCAAAAGAGAUAGUUGAAUAACUGUAAACCUACUUUUGGGCCACCAUGUGCAUUAUAGAGAUGUAUCUGCAUAGCAAGUGAUUUAAUCUGAGAUCGUGUGCCAAAGCAGAAACAAUUGCCAUGUGGAAGAUGUUUGCAAGCCAUUCAAGAACACACAAAAACCGUUAAUUUCACUUCAACUCUUAAAUUUUAUUUCUGUCAAAAUAUUUCAAAGCGACACAAAUAUUUUGACACAAAUAAAAUUUAAAUGUUGAAGUGAAACUAAGGGUUUUUGUGUGUUCUUGAAUAGCUUACAAACAUCUUCCAAGCUGCAAUCGUAUAUAUAUAUAUCAGGCUAUUGAGAAUGAAAUAUCCACUUUUCUAAUGCACCAAGUUUUAUUCUGACAAUUCUUUGUUUUACAACAUUGAAGAGUUACAUCACUUUUUGAAAUGCAAUUCAAGAUGUCUGAUUAUAUUGUGAGUUUUAUCUUGUAAAUCAGUUUUUGUGAACCCAUGGAUAGAUCAAAAAUUUGUGUUGUUUAUGAAUGAGUUCCAUCAUGGAACUCUUGAAAGUCAGCCCCAUGGUAGACCUGAGACCAAGGUGGAUAAUGAUGAGCUGGAAACUGUAGUGGAAGCGGAUGCAUAUCAAACUAUGCAUGAGUUAGUAGCAAGGUUUGAUGUUUCGAUUCCAACUGUAUUGGACCAUCUGAAACAAAUUGGCAAGGUAAAAACCUGGACAAGUGGGUACCACAUGAACUGAACAAGCAUCAAAUGACACAUCUUCUUUGCUGUUCUUUGCUGUCACGGCAUAGAAGCAAACCAUUUUUGCAUAUUUUUACGAAUGAUGAAAAAUGGAUUCUUUUCAACAGUAGCAAGCGUUCUGCAUGGUGAUUGGAUAGAGAUAAAGUGCCAAAACACAAUCCAAAAUAGAAUAUUCACCAAAAAAAAGCUAAUGGUGUCUUUUUGGUGGUCCAGUGCUGGUGUCAUCCACAACAGCUUCAUGAGAUCUGGUAAGUCUAUUACAGCAGAUGUAUACGUCAACCAAUUGAAUGAAAUGAUGAGUGAACUUGCAAUUAAACAACUGAGAUUGGUCAAUAGAGACAGGCCAAUUCUCUUGCAAGACAAUGCUCGACCACAUGUUACACAAAGAAUGCUACUCAAGUUACAAGAACUGAACUUAGAAGUACUACUAUAUUCACCAGACCUUGCACUAACUGACUAUCACGUUUUCCAGGCAUUAGACAACUUCUUCCAAGGAAAUAACUUCAAAUCUGAAGACGAUGCAAAAACAGCCUUUCAUAAUUUCAUCACCUCUUGCUCUCCAGAAUUCUUCGCUUCUGGCAUAGAUAAGCUACCAAUAAAAUAGCAAAAUUAUGUUGAUAAUUUAGGUGCAUACUUUGAUUAACUGCGUUGCUUUUUGUUUAGAUAAAAUAAAAUAAACUUUCAGUUCGAAAUCAGACAUUUUAUUCUUAAUGACCUGAUAUAAACAUACGUGUGUUUGUGUGUACAUAUAUAUGUUUAUAUGUAUAUGUAUGUAUAUAUAUAUAUAUAUAUAUAUAUAUAUAUAUAUAUAUAUAUAUGUAUGUAUGAAAAAAGAAAGAAUAAAAGAAUAUAUACAUAUAUAUGUACAUUAUAACGGAUAUUUACCAAUCUUGAAGACGUUUCCAUUUCAUGAGAAUUCUGUAUAUUCUUUGACAAGUGAAAUAACUACCAGAACUUGAACUCUCAUCACAACUCGUGCUGAUCUCAUAUCAGUGAAAUACAUGAUAUAACUAAUAUGAAGCUGGACAAAUUAAUUAAUUGCCAAUUUCCUCUCUAAUAUUUCAACCUCAAAGCAUUUAAUCUUGGGCAUGGCUUCUUUUUCACUGCCUUAUAAUUAUAUUGAUUUUUUUUUAGCAGAAAUAUUUUUCUCAUCUUUAUUUUUAUUUUAUUUAUUUAUUUAUUUUAUUUAUUUAUUUAUUUAUUUUCUAUUUUUGCAUCUGUCUUAGAAUUAGGUUUGCAGAACAAACCAAUGUCUUCGUCAUCUUCUUGAUUUAGAAUUGUGAAUUAAUGAAUAAUCAAUACAUAAGAGGAAGAGUUAGAUGAAAAUAUAAAUUGAUCUUACAAACGAGGAUUAUAUGUAUAUAUGUAUGUUGGGGUGGAUGGCUGAUUAGAGAACAGAUUGGAAACUAAUUAGAUUUAAUAAUUCACCACAUAUGUGAAUAUUGUGAUAAUACACACACAUACACACACAUGUACACAUGUGCAUGCAUUCUAUGCACACUAAAACAAUCACACACAUGCAUACACACACUAACACGUACACACACAUGUGCAGGCAUACACACAUUCACAGCAUCUUUUAGUGAGUUAUUUAUGAUGGACUUUAGAGUUUAGAACAAUUGAUGCUUGCUUAAUAGCCCCCAACCGAUGCCAAUACGGUUCUCAUGAUGAAAGGUGUCUUGAAAAUGGAUGCAUUUAAUUUGCUGAGCUUGUUUGAAAUAUUCGUUGGAGUUCAGUAAUUGUCGAUCAUCGUAGAAUGCUGCGUAGACAUCCCCACCACUUCUCAAAGUUGUCACAUCAACCAAACAUUUCUACGCCAAUUAAAAAGUGCUGCCAUGACAGAAGACAUGUAGAAUAGUUGGUUCAAAGAACUGACACAAGUUUGACAGAGAUACUUACCAUCUUUAGGUCUAGUUGCCAUAACAGUUGAUUAGAUACUGAAGUAAGCCACACAAGGAGCAUAUAGAGCAAAAUAUUAUACACUCCAUACAAUUUGGAAUCAUCAUUCAUUCCUCCAUGUGUUCAGUUGUACAUCUGAUUUUUUAUGCUAGCAUGAGUUAGAGGAAUGUUUUACUGAAGCAUUGUUUUAAAGCCGGAUGCUCUUCCUGUCACUUAACUUCAAAUGUUUUUCUAAGUUGGGAUCUUUUAUUCUAAAGGUUUUUGUAUGUGCUAAGGCAGUGGAAGAUUUGUCGAAUGCAGAAACAACAACAAUAUCACUGCUUGUUGCUCUACAAUUUAUAGAGGAGCACAAAUGUAAACAAACAUACAUCUGUAUGUUUACACACACACACAAACACACAAACACGCACUCACAGUUUUUUCCAUCUAUGUCUAUGAAUUCCAUUAGCAAGGCUUUGGUUAACCAGACUAUAGCAGAAGAAAUUUGCCUUCAGUGAUAUGCAGUGGGACCGAACCUGAAACCUCAUAUUCCAGGAUAAUACCUUUUAGCCACAUAGCAUUGCCUGUCUCUGUUCUAUUAGGGAUUCUAUUAUAUAUAUAUAUACCAGAUUCUAUGAUAUAUAUACCAUAGAAAAGAGUACCCAACAGAAUCUUUCUAACUUGGUUCUGAGGAUAGUAUUCCUGCCCAAACCAGCACCAAAGAGUAAUAGUUUUCUCUUGUGGGUAUCAGUACAUCAACAGCAAAGGAUUUUCUGGUAAUACCAUCCAGAGAGGACAUUUUCUUCUAAAACCCAAAGGAUUGCCAUUUUGCUCUUAUACAAGUAAAAUAACUUUGAAUGUUUUAUAGUGUUUAAAUUUUUAGCUUUUAAACCAGCUUCAUCCAACCAAAAUAUUCUAUCUGUUAAAUAUUCAAACCCACCAGAUCCUAUUUCUCAAAUUUACCUCAAAGAGUAAAGACCCAUUUCAGUCAUGAAUGGCAAUGAGAUUGCACCUAGAAAAUUCUCCUCCGAGGCACAAGUCUGGACAAGGUUGUUUACGGAAGACCAGCAGUUGACCAUGCAUACCAGCCUCUUCACACCACCAAUGUCGUCCAAGGGAAAGACAAAGGCUGAUAGAGCUUGGCACCAGUGAUGUCAUAACUCAUUUCUACAGCUGAGUGAACUAGAGCAACAUGGAAUAAAGUGUCUUGCUCAAGAACACAACACACGGCCUGGUCUGGGACUUGAACUCACAACCUCAUGAUUGGGAGCCCAACACUCUAACCACUGAGCCAUGCCCCUUCAUUCUGCCCUACAAAGUCAUUUUAAAAAUAAACAGUCACAUCAUCAAAUUCUUGAAGCUACAAGAUGAUACAUGAUCAAUUCAAAACAAUAUGGCUGUAAAAGCAUUAUAUUUGACAAAGGAAUCUGAUUGCUAAAGGGUUAAUGUUUACAGAUACCAAGAGAUGUGCACCAUCUCGUUACAUAAGCUCAUGCACCAGUCUUGUUAUAAAGUAUAGAUAUCUUCUGCAACAGUGAGCAUGGAUUUCAGGUGUGUGGAGUGUUUAUUGUCAUCAUAGCACCCCUAACAGGGUACUACAGUGAUGAAAUAUGACAAAUCUCCUUUAUAGUUUCCUGACUUAUGAAGACUCAUUGUAAGCAUAGCCAAAAGCAUUCACAAUCUUCUAAUCAAUUACAUCGCUGCCUCCUCUGUUGUUGACAAAUGCACACGCACACACAUACUUGCACAUACACACACACACACACAAACACACACACACACACACACCAAAGUCUCCACAAGUGAAGAAGUGUGCUGUUGUCAAAUCUGAUGGACAACCAUUGGCAGAAGUGUUUCAAAAUUGGUCAAACUUGUAGAUUAAUCAGUUGUAGAUGCAGAAAAAGUUAUGAUAUAUUUCAUGAAUGUGUGUGUGUGCUUAUGCAUGUGUGCAUGUGUGUGGUGUGGGUAUGUGAGAGUACAUAUAUAUGUAUAUGCACAUAUGUGUGUGCAUACAUGCAUCAUUAUAAUGUGUACUCACAUCAUAUGAUACAUAUACAUAGAUAUAUAUGUAUAUGCAUACAUGCAUUUAUAUAUAUUCAUAUAUGUAUGUACAUGUGUAUGUAUGCACAUAUAUGUAAAUAUAUAUACAUAUAUAUAUCUAUAUACAUACACUCUCAUAUACGUAUAAAUAUACAUUUGUAUACUUAUCUGUGUAUAUACAUAUACACAUAACUAUAUACACAUACACAUAUAUAUAAAUAUACAUACAUAUGUAUAUAUGUGUGUGUGUGAGCAUAUACAUAUAUACAUAGAGAGAUAAAUCAGUAGAUAAAUACAUCUAUACAUACAUGCAUACAUACACACCAGUGAAGGAAAAAGAAAGUGUGUAUAUACGUACAUACAUCCACAUAUAUGACAGCUCAUAAGUGUGUUUAAGUGUGCCUGUGUAUCAGUGUGUGUAUGAUGUCUUUAUACAUACAUAUAUACACAUACACUUUCAUUCAGUUCUGACUAUACCAAAGUUGUAUUGAAUAUUGAACACAAACUAAUUAAUCCAUAUUAUUUAUAGAACAUUACAUAAAUUUUCUCUCUAUAUUUAUUUAUUGUAGUUAUAAUUCCCCGUUGGUGUUCUUCCUGUUCAAUAUUAAAAUCCUCAUUUAUUUAAUUUUAUUUUCCUGUUCCUGGAGGCAAUUUUCUUCAUAUUUCAUAAUAAGUAUUUCCUUUAAGUGCAGGUGUCGGUUCUACUCUGUGUGUGUAUGCGUGUUCUCUUUAGCACUCUUGUACUGAACCACAGAUUCUUAGAAACAUCCGGCAGAGGAAUGAGUGCAGAAUUUCUUCAGACUAUAAAAAAAAAAUUACAAUAAACGUAUGUUCAUGAGUGCUCGACUAUACUUCAUCAGUAAAAACUGUUAAUUUGAUGAUUUGCAAUUAUUGCAGGUUAUUAAAAUAAAUGAAAACAGAUGCAAAUUAUUUGUAAAAACUAGCAUCAAGUAUGUAUGUAGACAUGCACCCAUGUAUAUAUGUGUAUAUAUGGAUAUAUACAUAUAUAUAUAUAUAUACAUAUACACAUAUACAUAUACAUAUAUAUAUAUACAUAUACAUAUAUAUAUAUAUAUAUAUAUAUGUGUGUGUGUAUAUAUAUUUAGUUUUAUGUAUUACUCUUGUAAUUUGUUUCUGUCAUUUGAUUGCGGCCAUGCUGGAGCAUCGCCUUUAGUCAAACAAAUCAACCCCAGAACUUAUUCUUUGUAAGCCUAAUACUUAUUCUAUCAGUCUCUUUUCUCGAAAUGCUAAGUCACAGGGACAUAAGCACACCAGCAUCGGUUGUCAUGUGUUGGUGGGGUGACAAACACAGACACACAAACAUACACACACAUACAUAUAUAUACACACACAUACACAUAUAUAUAUAUAAUAUAUAUAUAUAAUACAUAUAUAAAUACACAAUGGGCUUCUUUCAGUUUCUGUCUUUCAAACCCACUCACAAGGCUUUGAUCAGCCUGAGGCUAUAGUAAAAGACACUUGCCCAAGGUACCACGCAGUGGGACUGAACCAGGAACAUGUGGUUGGGAAACAAACUACUUAUGACACAGCCACUCCUGCACCUAUAUAUAUAUAUGUAUUCUUAACCACACAGUCAUGCUUACGCUCAUAUACAUAUAUAUAUAUGUGUGUGUGAGCAUGUGCUUGCAUGUGUGUGUAUGUUUGUGUGUGUGUAUCACUGAAUUGCUGUGUUGACCAGACUAUUGGAUGUUACUAAACACAGCUGAUCACAAUGCACUUCCCUGCAUUGUUGUAUCUCUUUUCAAAUAAUGCCACCCUGCUGGUGAGAUGCGCAGGCCAACAUUCCCCAUGAACAGAAUGCCAGUGCAUUGUAGUGUAACCCAUUUACAGGUGAGUGGAGUGGGGCAGCACAAAAUGAAGAGUUUUGCUCUGUAAUGCAAGGCACCACUGGUCUGGCAAUCAGAACCCCAAUCUAGUGAUUAUGAAUGCAACAGCCUAAACCCCAGGGCAUGUGCAUAUAUAUGUAUGUUUGUGUGUGUUUAUUCUCACAUGCUGUACACAGAAACACAGCAGUUUUAUUAGAACUGGUGCCAUGAAAAAUGUAUCCAGUACUCUUUGUAAAGAAGUUGGCAUCAAGAAAUGCAUCCAGCCACAGAAACCUUGCUAAAACUGAAAUAUUCUUGCAAGAUGGUGCUUCUUCAUGAUACUGGAUCCUGUCAAAACAUCCAACUGAAGACAGCAGCUUUUCAAUACUUGAUGUAAAAACCAUCAGCAAUCUUCUACUAUAGUCCUAAUCAGCCGAGAGAGUUCUUUCUUCAUUUUCUUAAUUUUUACAAGUCCCUUGGAUGCCUCAUUACUGCCAGUAUUACAAGGCAAAGUAUCCAGUGCACUCUGUUAAGUGGUUGGCGUUAAGAAGAGCAUGUCGCAUUAGAAAAGCAUACUAAAGUGGACACUGGAACUGAAUGCAGUCCUCUAGCUUGUCAAAUACCU